GGGGAUCAUUGGACCUGGAACUCGAAGGUAAAAGCGAGGACACAAGACACAGAUUUAUACUGGUUCGGGCCGCUAGAGUAGUGUAAUACCAUACGUCCUAUUUGGGGUGUUAUAUAUUGCGUCAUGCGCUUAGGUGUUGUUUGGUGUUGAGGAUUUGGUCCUCUGUUGUGGUUUUCUAUAUGCCGAUCUAGAUAUCCCUUUCCUCCUUUAUAUACUCCACGGGGCGGGAUUACUAGUCGGUUAGAAGGUAGAAGUCCUAGUAGGAUUCCAGGGGAAUCCUAGUAGGAGUCUGUCUUUUUCCUUGCGGGUACUGGAUAUCUAUCCCCGAUAGACGCGUAGUGCAUAUUUAAAAAACUUUGUAAUAUUUGAAGUGUAUAU
rnacentral:lncRNA from 1 species